ACGGAGGAUCCGAGCGUUAUCCGGAUUUAUUGGGUUUAAAGGGUGCGUAGGCUGAAGAUCAAGUCAGUUGUGAAAAACCGAUGCCCAACAUCGGUCGUGCAAUUGAAACUGGUCUACUAGAGUGUACUGGAGGCAGGUGGAAUUUGUGGUGUAGCGGUGAAAUGCAUAGAUAUCAUAAAGAACUCCGAUUGCGAAAGCAGCCUGCUACGGUAAGACUGACGCUGAGUCACGAAAGUGCGGGUAUCAAACAG
rnacentral:rRNA from 1 species